CAGACCGAGUGGAUCGAUCGAAAUGGAGGAGCAGAGACAUGCGGGUGAUGGAUCACAGGUGGGCCUGUAGAGGCUUUUUGCACCUCUUUUGUUGUCAGUUUGUGUUCCUACCUCGUCUCUAAGCCAGCCUUGACUCCUUUACUAGUGGGUGGAAUAACCAUCCUCUCCACACAGAGUAAUCGAAGCCCAGACCAGUUGUGGGAAAUUGGACUCCUGCAAAACCCUGUCACUCCUCCAGUCCUAUCUGAGAUUGCACAAGACGGCGACUCUGACUGGGACACAGACAGUAUCUCUGACCAGCCGUGGACAGGAAUUGUAGUUCCUCCAGUCGAAUGCCCCUUACUGAAGAACUUAAGGCCCAAAUUCAAACUUUUUUUAACCCAACCUCACACUCUCAAAACUAUGGAAGAGACCAUUAUUUAGUUUUAAAUUUUGUGCUGCUUCAUUCUUAAUUGACACUAAAUCAAUCAUUGAAAUGACUUGUUACCAAAUGAUACAUUUACAAGCAAAUUAACAUCCAAGUCAAUAAAAAACAAAUUUAAGGUGACAUUGCAUGCUUGUUUUAUUUUCUGUAUUGGCUAUAUUUAAAGCAGAAAAUGGCUAGUAUAACAACUUGUGUUCUCUUAACACAUUCAUUAAGAUAUACAAUUUUACAUUAUGUAACACGUUGUGUUCUCUACACAUACACAGUAAAUUUCAAAACCAUAAGAACAUUUACCAAUGUAUAAAAGUUUUUAUUUUCCUGAACAUGUACAAUUCCAUACCUUUAGUAUAAUUUUAAAUUCAGUUUAAACCGUUGUCAAAUUGAAUGGCUUGGAUGGGGUUGAUAUUGUCUGAAUUAAAUCAAUUACAUUUUAACAUUAA